rnacentral:misc_RNA from 1 species
GAUUAAAACCUGAUCGAUAUUCGUGGAAAUGGAAAAUUAGCAUUUGAAAUGAUGGGAAGGUUAGUGGCCAGAAGGGCUCCAUAGUGAGACGUUGAGCUCACUCUACUUGUAAAAUUAUGACUUCAUUUACUACCACGUUACUUCAGCAAUAGCAGAUCAAUGAGAGUAAUGCACUAUGCAUCAGAACCAAGUGAUUCAUCAAUUCAAGUCCAUCCUAGCAUAUGUGUAAAAAGUUUGAUUUUAUAGACAGGUUGAUUCUGCCCAUCAAGCCCAGUGUCCUUGCAAAAUUA